UUAUGCCAGGGCUACACACGUGCUACAAUGGUCGGUACAACGAGUUGCGAGUCGGUGACGGCGAGCUAAUCUCUUAAAGCCAAUCUCAGUUCGGAUUGUAGGCUGCAACUCGCCUACAUGAAGUCGGAAUCGCUAGUAAUCGCGGAUCAGCACGCCCGCGGUCGAAUACGUUCCGGGCCUU
rnacentral:rRNA from 1 species